rnacentral:rRNA from 1 species
AGCAGCCGCGGUAAUUCCAGCUCCAAUAGCGUAUAUUAAAGUUGUUGCAGUUAAAAAGCUCGUAGUUGAAUUUCGGGGUCAAUAAGUUGGUCAUGCCAAUGGUAUGCACUGGCUUUAUUGAUUCCUACCUCUUGACGAACUGUGAUGCCAUUAAUUUGGUGUUGCAAGGAAUCAGGACUGUUACCUUGAAAAAAAUUAGAGUGUUUAAAGCAAGCUUACGCUUGAAUACAUUAGCAUGGAAUAAUGAAAUAGGACGUUUGAUCCUAUUUUGUUGGUUUUUAGGAUCGACGUAAUGAUUAAUAGGGAUAGUUGGGGGCAUUAGUAUUCAAUUGUCAGAGGUGAAAUUCUUGGAUUUAUUGAAGACUAACUACUGCGAAAGCAUUUGCCUAAGGAUGUUUUCAUUAAUCAAGAACGAAAGUUAGGGGAUCGAAGACGAUCAGAUACCGUCGUAGUCUUAAACCNUAAAACUNUAGCCGACUAGGGAUCGGAUGAUGUUAAUUUUUAAUGACUCA